rnacentral:rRNA from 1 species
AGUGAACGCUGGCGGUAGGCCUAACACAUGCAAGUCGAACGGCCGCACAGUAAGAGCUUGCUCUUACGGGUGGCGAGUGGCGGACGGGUGAGGCAUACAUCGGAAUCUACUUUUUCGUGGGGGAUAACGUAGGGAAACUUACGCUAAUACCGCAUACGACCUACGGGUGAAAGCAGUGGAUCUUCGCACCUUGCGCGAUUGAAUGAGCCGAGGUCGGAUUAGCUAGUUGGCGGGGUAAAGGCCCACCAAGGCGACGCUACGGAGCUGGUCUGAGAGGAUGAUCAGCCACCAUGGAACCUGAGCACGGUCCAGACUACUAAGGGAGGGAGCAGUGAGGAAUAUUUGACAAUGGGCGGAAGCCUGAUCCAGCCAUACCGCGUGGGUUGAGGAGGCUUUCGGGUUGGUAAGCCCUUUUGUUGGGAAAGAAAAGCAGCAGGUUAAUACCCCGCUGUUCUGACGGUACCCAAAGAAUAAGCACCGGCUAACUUCGUG